UGAUUGAGAGUACCGUAGAAAAGGAUCGGAGCAGUCCGGGCCAGCAGUAGCUGUAAUACGUAGUAUGCAAGCGUUGUCCGGAAUCAUUGGGCUUGAAAGUGUCUGUAGUCGGUUUGUAAGUCAGUGGUGAAAGCGCAUCGCUCAAUGGAGAACGGCCAUUGAUAGUGCUAGACUGAAUUAUUAGGACGUAAGUAGAAUAUGUAGUGUAGCGUAGAAAUGGUUAGAGCUUACAUGGAGUAGCAUCUGCGAUGUCAGGCUGAUACUAAUUGAUUGACGCUGAGGGACGAAAGCGUGGGUAGUGAACAGGUUGUGCUAGCCUUGUAGUACGCGCCGUAAGCGAUGGAUAGUAGCUGUUGGGUGCAAGUUCAGUGGCUACGCGAAAGUGAUAAGUAUCCCACCUGGGGAGUACGUUUGCAAGAAUGAAAAUCAAAGGAAUUGACGGGGGCCCGCACAAGCGGUGGAGCAUGUGGUUUAAUUCGAUGAUAACGCGAGGAACCUUACCAAGGCUUAAAUGUAGAUUGACCGGUUUGGAAACAGUCUUUUCGCAAGACAAUUUACAAGCAUGGUCAUGGUUGUCGUCAGCUCGUGCCGUGAGGUGUCAGUUUAAGUCCUAUAACGAGCGCAACCCUUGUUGUUCGUUGCCAAGGAGUGCAGUCUGAAACUCUAACAAGACUAACCGGGUAAAAUGAGAGGAAGGUGGGGAUGACGUCAAAUCAUCACGGCCCUUACGCCUUGGGCUACACAAUGGAUACAAUGGCCGGUACAGAGAGCAGCCGGUGGGUGACCUGGAGCGAAAUUAUAAAGCCGUUCACAGUCAGGAUGCGAGUCGGCAACUCGAAUCCGGGAAGCUGGAAAAUCUAGUAUUAGGAUAUCAGCCAGAAUCCGUUGAAUACGUUCCCGCACCUCGUACACACACGCCAUCAGACCAUGGACGCCGGGGGUCCGGAAGUCAACGACCGCAAGGAGCCGCUUUGGGUGUGGUCUG
rnacentral:rRNA from 1 species